rnacentral:rRNA from 1 species
UACGUAGGGCGCAAGCGUUAUCCGGAAUUAUUGGGCGUAAAGAGCUCGUAGGCGGUUUGUCGCGUCUGCCGUGAAAGUCCGGGGCUCAACUCCGGAUCUGCGGUGGGUACGGGCAGACUAGAGUGAUGUAGGGGAGACUGGAAUUCCUGGUGUAGCGGUGAAAUGCGCAGAUAUCAGGAGGAACACCGGUGGCGAAGGCGGGUCUCUGGGCCGAUACUGACGCUGAGGUGCGAAAGCGUGGGGAGCAAACAGG